CCUAAUAAAAAAUUUAACCUGGUCUGAUUUGCUCUAAAUGCUUUGGUUUCAGAGUUAUAAGCCAAAAUCUACAUUUACCCUUAUGUUCUAUUUUUAGCCAUGGCGGCCAUCUUGGUUGGUUGGCUUGGUCACCGCACACAUUUUUUAAACUAGAUACCUCAAUGAUGAUUGUGGCCAAGUAUGGUUAAAUUUGGCCCAGUAGUGUCAGAGGAGAAGGUUUUUGUAAAAGAU
rnacentral:lncRNA from 1 species